GACUACACAUUUUCUGCCCCACUGAAAACAUCUUGACAAGAGACCACCAUGAAAAUGAAUCAAAUUUUGACAUUGUGCCUCGGGAUGCUGCUUUUAACCUUACCCUUUUCAACCUCAGAGGACAAAGGCUCAGCAAAAGAUGGUGAGCAAAAACCAGCCUCGCAACCGACAAACAACACCAAUACCAACACUGCGGGGGCCACCGAUGCUGCAGGACUGGAUGUGUUGCCCACCAUGCUGUGUUUACUGAUUCCAGCUGCCACCCUCAGCUUCAUGCACUGAACUGGCUGGAGAGUGUUUUGAUGUAACCCAGAAAGACGGACAGCCAGUCACAUGAAGAGAGAGAUUUUCCACAGUUCUGGAAGACACAUAAAUAAAGCAAGAUGCCACAGCAAUUCAAAUUAGAAAAAGAUUUUGUUUAUUUGUUAAUAUAAAUAUUUCUGGAAAAAAAAAAAACGGCUUUAAAAGGACAACACCCAACAAAGCCACACAGAUGGACUCUUGCCCCAUUUUUGAAAAUACCCAUCAGCUGUGAUUUCCUUGUUCAAAAUUAAACAUGAUAAUUCAGUUAUACAAUAUUUUUGGCUUGAUUGUAAUUAUAAUGAUUAAGAAUAUGUCUAUAUGCACAAUUAAAGUGGAUGAU